rnacentral:rRNA from 1 species
UGCAGUCGAGCGGUAGCACAGAGAGCUUGCUCUCGGGUGACGAGCGGCGGACGGGUGAGUAAUGUCUGGGAAACUGCCUGAUGGAGGGGGAUAACUACUGGAAACGGUAGCUAAUACCGCAUAACGUCGCAAGACCAAAGUGGGGGACCUUCGGGCCUCAUGCCAUCAGAUGUGCCCAGAUGGGAUUAGCUAGUAGGUGGGGUAACGGCUCACCUAGGCGACGAUCCCUAGCUGGUCUGAGAGGAUGACCAGCCACACUGGAACUGAGACACGGUCCAGACUCCUACGGGAGGCAGCAGUGGGGAAUAUUGCACAAUGGGCGCAAGCCUGAUGCAGCCAUGCCGCGUGUGUGAAGAAGGCCUUCGGGUUGUAAAGCACUUUCAGCGGGGAGGAAGGCGGUGAGGUUAAUAACCUUGUCGAUUGACGUUACCCGCAGAAGAAGCACCGGCUAACUCCGUGCCAGCAGCCGCGGUAAUACGGAGGGUGCAAGCGUUAAUCGGAAUUACUGGGCGUAAAGCGCACGCAGGCGGUCUGUCAAGUCGGAUGUGAAAUCCCCGGGCUCAACCUGGGAACUGCAUUCGAAACUGGCAGGCUAGAGUCUUGUAGAGGGGGGUAGAAUUCCAGGUGUAGCGGUGAAAUGCGUAGAGAUCUGGAGGAAUACCGGUGGCGAAGGCGGCCCCCUGGACAAAGACUGACGCUCAGGUGCGAAAGCGUGGGGAGCAAACAGGAUUAGAUACCCUGGUAGUCCACGCCGUAAACGAUGUCGAUUUGGAGGUUGUGCCCUUGAGGCGUGGCUUCCGGAGCUAACGCGUUAAAUCGACCGCCUGGGGAGUACGGCCGCAAGGUUAAAACUCAAAUGAAUUGACGGGGGCCCGCACAAGCGGUGGAGCAUGUGGUUUAAUUCGAUGCAACGCGAAGAACCUUACCUGGUCUUGACAUCCACAGAACUUUCCAGAGAUGGAUUGGUGCCUUCGGGAACUGUGAGACAGGUGCUGCAUGGCUGUCGUCAGCUCGUGUUGUGAAAUGUUGGGUUAAGUCCCGCAACGAGCGCAACCCUUAUCCUUUGUUGCCAGCGGUUCGGCCGGGAACUCAAAGGAGACUGCCAGUGAUAAACUGGAGGAAGGUGGGGAUGACGUCAAGUCAUCAUGGCCCUUACGACCAGGGCUACACACGUGCUACAAUGGCAUAUACAAAGAGAAGCGACCUCGCGAGAGCAAGCGGACCUCAUAAAGUAUGUCGUAGUCCGGAUUGGAGUCUGCAACUCGACUCCAUGAAGUCGGAAUCGCUAGUAAUCGUAGAUCAGAAUGCUACGGUGAAUACGUUCCCGGGCCUUGUACACACCGCCCGUCACACCAUGGGAGUGGGUUGCAAAAGAAGUAGGUAGCUUAACCUUCGGGAGGGCGCUACCA